rnacentral:rRNA from 1 species
UACGGAGGGUGCAAGCGUUAUCCGGAUUCACUGGGUUUAAAGGGUGCGUAGGUGGGUUGGUAAGUCCGUGGUGAAAUCUCCGAGCUUAACUCGGAAACUGCCGUGGAUACUAUCAAUCUUGAAUACUGUGGAGGUAAGCGGAAUAUGUCAUGUAGCGGUGAAAUGCUUAGAUAUGACAUAGAACACCAAUUGCGAAGGCAGCUGGCUACACGAAUAUUGACACUGAGGCACGAAAGCGUGGGGAUCAAACAGG